rnacentral:ribozyme from 1 species
AUCAAUUCUUCGCUUGCUGUGAGGUUAUGUGGUAAUAAUACUUCACUGGUAACAUAAUAAAGACUAAGCAAAACCUGCUUAAUACGUCCCCGACGAACAGAGCGAUAAAAUGUCUCUUCCAAGAUCUGAGAUUGAGUAUACGGGACAGGGUAAAGUCUUGGGUGGAUGGAUGAUGUCCUGAAAUUGAGAGGA